rnacentral:rRNA from 1 species
GUGUCAGCCGCCGCGGUAAUACGUAGGAUCCGAGCGUUAUCCGAAUUUACUGGGCGUAAAGCGUGUGUAGGCGGUUUGAUAAGUUGGAUGUUAAAGCUCCCGGCUCAACUGGGAGAAGCCGUUCAAAACUAUCAGACUAGAGGACGGUAGAGGGAGGUAGAAUUCCCGGUGUAGUAGUGAAAUGCGUAGAUAUCGGGAGGAAUACCAGUGGCGAAGGCGGCCUCCUGGACCGUUCCUGACGCUCAGACACGAAAGCUAGGGGAGCGAACGGGAUUAGAAACCCCGGUAGUCCUAGCUGUAAACGAUGCAAACUUGGUGUUGGUGGGGUAAAAUCCGCCGGUGCCGAAGCUAACGCGAUAAGUUUGCCGCCUGGGGACUACGGCCGCAAGGUUAAA